CACGUAGGGGGCGAGCGUUGUCCGGAUUUAUUGGGCGUAAAGAGCUCGUAGGCGGCUCGGUAAGUCGGGUGUGAAACCUCCAGGCUCAACCUGGAGACGCCACUCGAUACUGCCGUGGCUAGAGUCCGGUAGAGGAGCGUAGAAUUCCUGGUGUAGCGGUGAAAUGCGCAGAUAUCAGGAGGAAUACCAGCGGCGAAGGCGGCGCUCUGGGCCGGUACUGACGCUGAGGAGCGAAAGCAUGGGGAGCGAACAGG
rnacentral:rRNA from 1 species